rnacentral:rRNA from 1 species
CAGUAGCCACGGGAAUACGUAGGUGGCAAGCGUUGUCCGGAAUUAUUGGGCGUAAAGGGCUCGCAGGCGGUUUCUUAAGUCUGAUGUGAAAGCCCCCGGCUCAACCGGGGAGGGUCAUUGGAAACUGGGAAACUUGAGUGCAGAAGAGGAGAGUGGAAUUCCACGUGUAGCGGUGAAAUGCGUAGAGAUGUGGAGGAAUACCAGUGGCGAAGGCGACUCUCUGGUCUGUAACUGACGCUGAGGAGCGAAAGCGUGGGGAGCGAACAGGAUUAGAUACCCCAGUAGUCCCUGUCUCUUAUAA